ACACCAAUCCAUAAGAGGGGGUGGGCCCCUCUUGCCAUAUCCAGGAGGUUGGCACCUCCUGGUCACACCCCCUCUCUUUCCUCCACGCCAAUCCAUAAGAGGGGGCGGCCCCUCUUGCCAUAUCCAGGGGGUUGGCACCCCUUGGUCACACCCCCUCUCUCUCCUCCAUGUCAAUCCAUAAGAGGGGACGGGCCCCUCUUGCCAUAUCCAGGGGGUUGGCACCCCCUGAUCUUGCCAAAAAGAGAAGAAGGCGCCACCCUUCUUUCCUUCUAUUCCACACACCUCUUAAAGAUAAUUAGGAGAUAAUGUAGAGAUAAUGAAGAGAUAAUUUAGCUAACUAAUUAACUUAAUCAAAUCAUCUUGGGCUCACAAUUAAGAGUCCAAUUAAAUUCAAAUGGAUUUAGAUUAGGUUCAAGACUAUGAACUUGAUCCAAUCGAAAUUUCGAGAAGAAUUAGAUUUAACCAUGUGUUAGCAUGAUUCUUUUAAACCCAAUAGGAUUUCAAUAAAUCCUAACCCAAUUAAAACUUCAUAAGCUCAAUUGACAAAUUCGAGAUUAAAUCCCUUAAUAUGUGGCCCC
rnacentral:lncRNA from 1 species